rnacentral:rRNA from 1 species
ACAAGCCCUGGAAACGGGGUCUAAUACCGGAUACGACUACCGACCGCAUGGUCUGGUGGUGGAAAGCUCCGGCGGUGCAGGAUGAGCCCGCGGCCUAUCAGCUUGUUGGUGGGGUGAUGGCCUACCAAGGCGACGACGGGUAGCCGGCCUGAGAGGGCGACCGGCCACACUGGGACUGAGACACGGCCCAGACUCCUACGGGAGGCAGCAGUGGGGAAUAUUGCACAAUGGGCGAAAGUCUGAUGCAGCGACGCCGCGUGAGGGAUGACGGCCUUCGGGUUGUAAACCCCUUUCAGCAGGGAAGAAGCGAAAGUGACGGUACCUGCANAAGAAGCACCGGCUAACUACGUGCCAGCAGCCGCGGUAAUACGUAGGGUGCGAGCGUUGUCCGGAAUUAUUGGGCGUAAAGAGCUCGUAGGCGGCUUGUCACGUCAGAUGUGAAAANCCCNGNNCUUAAC